rnacentral:ncRNA from 2 species
CGAUGUCGCGCGGGAGAGUCCUCAGCACCGCCUGGGGCGCCGAAGGAGCAACUCCUCCCCGGAAUCUCUCAGGCACAGCUACCGCCCGACGAAG